AGCGGCGGACGGGUGAGUAACGCGUAGGAAUCUACCUGGCUAGUGGGGGACAACAUGUGGAAACGCAUGCUAAUACCGCAUACGACCUAAGGGUGAAAGUGGGGGACCUUCGGGCCUCACGCUAUCGGAUGAGCCUGCGUAAGAUUAGCUAGUUGGUGAGGUAAGAGCUCACCAAGGCGACGAUCUUUAGCUGGUCUGAGAGGAUGAUCAGCCACACUGGGACUGAGACACGGCCCAGACUCCUACGGGAGGCAGCAGUGGGGAAUAUUGCGCAAUGGAGGAAACUCUGACGCAGCCAUGCCGCGUGUGUGAAGAAGGCCUUAGGGUUGUAAAGCACUUUCAAUUGGGAAGAAAGGUUGUACGUUAAUAGCGUGCAGCUGUGACAUUACCUUUAGAAGAAGCACCGGCUAACUCCGUGCCAGCAGCCGCGGUAAUACGGAGGGUGCGAGCGUUAAUCGGAAUUACUGGGCGUAAAGCGCGCGUAGGCGGUUUGUUAAGUCGGAUGUGAAAGCCCUGGGCUCAACCUGGGAACUGCAUUCGAUACUGGCUAACUAGAGUGCGAGAGAGGGAGGUAGAAUUCCAUGUGUAGCGGUGAAAUGCGUAGAUAUGUGGAGGAAUACCGGUGGCGAAGGCGGCCUCCUGGCUCGACACUGACGCUGAGGUGCGAAAGCGUGGGGGAGCAAACAGGAUUA
rnacentral:rRNA from 1 species